GCAGCGAGUAGAUUGCUUGCAAUCUACGUCGGCGACCGGCGCACGGGUGCGUAACGCGUAUGCAACCUACCCAUUACAGGGGGAUAACACUGAGAAAUCGGUACUAAUACCCCAUAACAUCCAGGGAGGCAUCUUCUUGGGUUGAAAACUCCGGUGGUAAUGGAUGGGCAUGCGUUGUAUUAGUUAGUUGGUGGGGUAACGGCUCACCAAGACGACGAUACAUAGGGGGACUGAGAGGUUAACCCCCCACAUUGGUACUGAGACACGGACCAGACUCCUACGGGAGGCAGCAGUGAGGAAUAUUGGUCAAUGGCCGCAGGGCUGAACCAGCCAAGUCGCGUGAGGGAUGACGGUCCUAUGGAUUGUAAACCUCUUUUGUCAGGGAGCAAAGGGCGCCACGUGUGGCGUUUUGCGAGUACCUGAAGAAAAAGCAUCGGCUAACUCCGUGCCAGCAGCCGCGGUAAUACGGAGGAUGCGAGCGUUAUCCGGAUUUAUUGGGUUUAAAGGGUGCGCAGGCGGAAUGUCAAGUCAGCGGUAAAAUUUCGGGGCUCAACCCCGUCGUGCCGUUGAAACUGGCGUUCUUGAGUGGGCGAGAAGUAUGCGGAAUGCGUGGUGUAGCGGUGAAAUGCAUAGAUAUCACGCAGAACUCCGAUUGCGAAGGCAGCAUACCGGCGCCCAACUGACGCUGAAGCACGAAAGCGUGGGUAUCGAACAGGAUUAGAUACCCUGGUAGUCCACGCAGUAAACGAUGAAUACUAGCUGUUCGGGGCAAAUGAGCCUUGAGUGGCACAGCGAAAGCGUUA
rnacentral:rRNA from 1 species